rnacentral:lncRNA from 1 species
CUUUCUUUGUUUUGUGUCUUUGUUCUUAGUAUUUCCCCACACAAUGAGGACAUUGUGUUGUUUAAGUGUGGGGGAGUUUUUAUGUCUUUUGUCUUGAGUCUAUGUGUUCGUUUUGUUUUGGUUUUUGUUUGGUGUUUGUGAGUCUGUCUAUGGCAACUUUUCAUGCGAGCAUUUUGAUUUGUUAGGAUGAGCAUAUUGAUAUGGAUUGUAUGGUUGUUUUCUUGGAUGAUAUGAAAAUGUGUUGAAACCCAUAUGUGUUUGAGGAUGACAAAUGUGUAAAUUGAUCAAUUUGUUGAAAACCACUCAUAUAGUGAGGAUUGAGCCUUUUGAGCAAUAACUUGAAUGCUCCUUGCUUGUUCUUUG